rnacentral:rRNA from 1 species
GCUUACGGCCAUACUGCCUGAUCUCGGAAGCUAAGCAUGGUCGGGCCUGGUUAUUGCUUGGAUGGGAGACCGCCUAGGAAUACCAGUUGCUGUAAGCU